AAUGAGCGUAAAUAUUUUCAGGAUUGUUAUGCGCUAAGUUUAAGGAUUGUUUUGCGAUAAAUGAGGACUGAAUUGCGACCGGGACAUUUUUUACGAAUUGAAAUGGGGACUUUAUUGCGACCGGGACUGUUAGUCGAUUUUUUUCCGGGACUGUUUUAAGACAAUAAGGAUUCUUUCACGACUGUAGGGACUGUUUGUUAAUUGACAUAAGGAUUGUAUUGCACUUGAAAAAUAUAAAAUUUAAAACUAAUGCGCAUGUGCCAAGUUUGGAUUUAGAAAAGGGCUGCUUGUAAACUUAGAAACUUUAUAAACUAGAAAAAAACUGUGAAUGAUCUUUUUUAAUUUUACUUUCUAGAUUUUGUUCAUCUUUUGGAAAAUAUUGAUUUAAAAAAUGGUUUAAUAUCUGAAUUUGUUAUUUUUUCGGAAGUUGUUGAUGUAAAAAAAUGGUUCGAUAUCAGCUAAAAUGAAUUUGUUAAUCUAUUGGAAGUUAUUAAUGUAAGGAAAUGGUUCGAUAUCAGCUAAAAUGAAUUUGUUAAUCUAUUGGAAGUUAUUAAUGUAAGGAAAUGGUUCGAUAUCAGCUAAAAUGAAUUUGUUAAUCUAUUGGAAGUUAUUAAUGUAAGGAAAUGGUUCGAUAUCAGCUAAAAUGAAUUUGUUAAUCUAUUGGAAGUUAUUAAUGUAAGGAAAUGGUUCGAUAUCAGCUAAAAUGAAUUUGUUAAUCUAUUGGAAGUUAUUAAUGUAAGGAAAUGGUUCGAUAUCAGCUAAAAUGGUAUUGUGGUUAAUCUUCCUUUGGCUAGUUUUCAUAUUUAGUUCCAAGAUGCUCUGUGACAAGACCGUUAGGUCUUCUUUGGGCUUCUAGGUCUUCUUUUUUUUUCGAUUUUAAAAGUAAAAAAUAAAAAAACCAAGGACAGCUAAGACGCUCAAGGACCAAGAGUAAAUGAGUUUAUAAAAUAACAGUAAAUAAAAGUUAGAAGUAGUCGAAUUAGAAAAAUAAUAUAGAAAAAAUCGGACAAAUGCCUAUAUUGAAUUGUAAAGUUUUACAGAUUUUAGAUAUUGUGGUUUAUCCUACUUUCGGCUAGUUGCCAUAGUUUGCCAGAAGUACGCUGAGACAAGUUCAGUUCUCUAAAGAGCAUCAUGACCUGCUCCGACGGUGAGUUGUAGGAAGAACGGAAAUAAAUUUAAGUAAAAGUCAGAAAAAGUCGUGUUAGAAAGAAUAGAGAAAGUGGACAUACAUUGCAUUGGCUGUUACGAUGUGCAGUUUAUAUACAGAUUUUAUGAAAGGAUGUGUUUUUUUUUGUUUUUUUGUUUUUUUGUUGUUGUUUCAGUCUAAAAUAUUUAAAUAGUAAAAGCUUUACAUUUUUUCCGUAAACA